rnacentral:lncRNA from 1 species
CCUUCAGUAUCAUAAUAACUGAUUUCUUUUUUCUUUUUAUUUUAGCAUGUUUGUAGAUGCAUAUUUGGAACCUUUCAUUCCACAUAUGAAUGAUUUGUAUCUCAUUGUGGUAAAUGAAUUUUUAGAAUUCUUUCAUACAUUUGGACUGUGGCAGCCCUGGAAUUCAUACAAUCUUCUUGAAGGAGAAAAGAAGAGAACUAUUACAUGUGUACCUGGAUCCUCAGGAGAGACAUUUGUUAUUUAUAAUAUUGGCAAUUUUCACAAGGACAAUGUUAGGAUAAGACCCUUCUCAUUGAAUAAUUGCUUUCAGAGUAGUAUUUUAGAAGAAAAACACUCUCCAAUUAUUAGCAAUCUUGUAGAGAUAGAAUUUUAAUUUAGAGUUUCCUCAGUGUGAAUCCUGUCAAACUGCCUUAGGUGGAACUUUGAGCUAAGGUCUUGCUUGGGAAUUCUGUGAGACCUGAGGAGGUGGAAGUUCUGUUUAAUAAAACUGUCUCUCUCUCUGCUGGUGGCUAAAUC